AUGCUGGGGACCCUCUGCACUCUCAUCACUGCUCUAACAUGUGUGAGUGGUGUGACGCUGGUGACACAGAAGCCUCCUGUUGUGACAGUGAGGAAAGGAGAGACAGCCACCAUGGACUGUAACCUGGGGACUUAUACUUCCAAUUCUGCUAACUGGUACAAACAGAUUCCUGGAGGAGUUCCUCAGCAUGUUCUGAGAAAUUAUCACGGCUGGAGCUCUGUACGUUAUGGCUCUGGUUUCUCCUCUCCAAAGUUCACUUCUACUCAUCAGUCAAGAUCAGAUUAUCGUUUGAUCAUCAACAAUGUGGAGGAGGGAGACUCAGCAGUCUAUUACUGUCAAACAUGGGACAGCUCUGCUGACGAGGGAGUAUCACAGUGAUUUACACUGUGACAAAAACCUCCUCACUAAUACUUCUGCUUUUUCAGUCUCUGACACAUCUGAGCCAUCAACAAACACUGUGUGCAGUAGAUCGUGUUCACUGUGUGUUCACUACAGUAACAUUUUCCAAACAUCAAAAUCCUGCUUUUGUACAUAAAUCUAAAAAAAUAUAUCUUAAAUUGCUCUUUGCAGA